AGCGAACGCUGGCGGCAGGCUUAACACAUGCAAGUCGAGCGGGCACCUUCGGGUGUCAGCGGCAGACGGGUGAGUAACACGUGGGAACGUACCCUUUGGUUCGGAACAACUCUGGGAAACUGGAGCUAAUACCGGAUACGCCCUUAUGGGGAAAGGUUUACCGCCGAAGGAUCGGCCCGCGUCUGAUUAGCUAGUUGGUGAGGUAACGGCCCACCAAGGCGACGAUCAGUAGCUGGUCUGAGAGGAUGAUCAGCCACACUGGGACUGAGACACGGCCCAGACUCCUACGGGAGGCAGCAGUGGGGAAUAUUGGACAAUGGGCGCAAGCCUGAUCCAGCCAUGCCGCGUGAGUGAUGAAGGCCUUAGGGUUGUAAAGCUCUUUUGUCCGGGACGAUAAUGACGGUACCGGAAGAAUAAGCCCCGGCUAACUUCGUGCCAGCCGCCGCUGUAAG
rnacentral:rRNA from 1 species